UACGUAGGGACCGAGCGUUGUCCGGAAUCAUUGGGCGUAAAGAGCGUGUAGGCGGCUAUUUAAGUCCUGCGUGAAAUCCUGCGGCUCAACCGCAGACGGUCGUGGGAAACUGGAUGGCUAGAGUGCGGGAGAGGAGAGUGGAAUUCCCGGUGUAGCGGUGAAAUGCGCAGAUAUCGGGAAGAACACCCGUGGCGAAGGCGGUCUGCUGGGCCAAGACUGACGCUGAGGCGCGACAGCGUGGGGAGCAAACAGG
rnacentral:rRNA from 1 species